GAGGCUGAGGACUGACUUGGGUUCUGAGACUCCCUGUCCCGGACCGCAGUGUUAAAAGGAUCUGAACAAAGUCUGCUCAAAUCUCCUGCUGUGAACCAGCAGAAUUUUUGAACAGGCUGGAGCGCAGUGGUGUGAUCUCGGCUCACUGCAACCUCUGCCUUCAAGCAAUUCUUCUGCCUCAGCCUUCCGAGUAGAUGGGAUUACAGGUUUCUUCACAUAUAAAAAUCUAUUGUAAAAAUACGGAAAAGAAUGGCAGCGGAAACGCAGACACUGAACUUUGGGCCUGAAUGAUAUGUUUGGACCCCGAAUAUGGAAUUCUCAUGGAAUUUUGAGAUCCAUCACAUUGUAGUGUGGCUUCCCCCCCCCCCUUCCUUUUUCCCCAAAGUUGGUGAUUGAAGAACCUCUCUUCAGUGGCAUCAAUAAUAAUAAUUACUUUUUCUAUUCAAACCUCGGGCAACCCCUUUGGUAAUAUCAGAAGCAGUAUCUAAAAUAGAUAAAUUGGAUUUGUGUCUUAAACUCUUGGUUGUUCAGGUGGGAGUGGUUCAAUAAAUGAUGCAGACUUCCCGUAGUAACUCUAUUUGAGGAGUCUUAUUAACUUACCCUAUUAGAAAUAUUUCUUUUUAUUAAUAUAUGUAAUCUGGAAGUUUUCUUAACCUUUAUAGCCAGCAUUUGGAGACUGAGGAGAAAUCACUAUUUGAAGUUCUAAGAACUGAUGGAACUCCUGUAUUUUGAGAGUUUAUUUAGAACAUGUUAACCUAAGUAAUGCUGUACUUGUUUUAGUUAUUCCUUUAU
rnacentral:sRNA from 1 species